rnacentral:rRNA from 1 species
AUGCAUCUCACUCUUGAAUUCGGGGGCGGUCUGGAGCUUCUCCUAGAGAAAUCCACCAAGGUACACAAGGUGGAUGUCCAGCAUAGGGACGGUGAAGACAAGGCCACGAUGAAGGGGUUGCUCUCUUGGGUGAAGUCCAAUUUGAUCAAGGAGCGGCCGGAGAUGUUCAUCAAAGAUGAUUCUGUGAGGCCUGGGGUUCUUGUCCUUAUAAACGACUGCGACUGGGAGUUGUGUGGUGGCCUUGAUGCAGAGUUGGAAGAGAAGGACGUGGUUGUGUUCAUCUCCACACUGCACGGUGGUUAA